rnacentral:rRNA from 1 species
GACGAACGCUGGCGGCGUGCUUAACACAUGCAAGUCGAACGGAGCGAAUGAAAGCUUGCUUUUAUGAGCUUAGUGGCAAACGGGUGAGUAACACGUAGACAACCUGCCGAUCAGAUGGGGACAACAUUCCGAAAGGAAUGCUAAUACCGAAUGGCGUGUAGGGGAGGCAUCUCCCGUACAUGAAAGAUGGCCUCUAUAUAUAAGCUAUCACUGAUCGAUGGGUCUGCGUCUGAUUAGCUGGUUGGUGAGGUAACGGCUCACCAAGGCGACGAUCAGUAGCCGGUCUGAGAGGAUGAACGGCCACAUUGGGACUGAGACACGGCCCAGACUCCUACGGGAGGCAGCAGUGGGGAAUCUUCCGCAAUGGGCGCAAGCCUGACGGAGCAACGCCGCGUGAGUGAAGAAGGUCUUCGGAUCGUAAAGCUCUGUUGAAGGGGACGAACGAUCGAGGGGCGAACAGGCUCUCGGUAUGACG